rnacentral:rRNA from 1 species
UACGUAAGGGGCAAGCGUUAUCCGGAUUUACUGGGUGUAAAGGGAGCGUAGACGGCUAUGUAAGUCAGAUGUGAAAACCCAAGGCUCAACCUUGGGACUGCAUUUGAAACUAUGCAGCUAGAGUGUCGGAGAGGUAAGUGGAAUUCCUAGUGUAGCGGUGGAAUGCGUAGAUAUUAGGAGGAACACCAGUGGCGAAGGCGACUUACUGGACGAUGACUGACGUUGAGGCUCGAAAGCGUGGGGAGCAAACAGG